rnacentral:rRNA from 1 species
CCUACGGGGGGCAGCAGUGGGGAAUAUUGCGCAAUGGGCGAAAGCCUGACGCAGCGACGCCGCGUGAGGGAUGAAGGCCUUCGGAUCGUAAACCUCUGUCAGCAGGGAAGAAAGGUCACUGUGCUACUCAGCUGUGAAUUGACGGUACCUGCAUAAGCAGCACCGGCUAACUCCGUGCCAGCAGCCGCGGUAAUACGGAGGGUGUGAGCGUUGAUCGGAAUUACUGGGCGUAAAGCGCACGUAGGCGGUAUGGUAAGUCAAUAGUGAAAUACCAGAGCUCAACGUUGGAACGGCCAGUGAUACUGGCAAACUAGAGUAUGUGAGAGGAUAGUGGAAUUCCAGGUGUAGGGGUGAAAUGCGGAGAUAUCAGGAGGAACACCGGUAGCGAAGGCGACUAUCUGGCCGGAAACUGACGCUGAGGAGCGAAAGCGUGGGUAGCAAACAGGAUUAGAUACCCGAGUAGUC